rnacentral:rRNA from 1 species
UGAGGAAUAUUGGUCAAUGGGCGAGAGCCUGAACCAGCCAAGUAGCGUGCAGGAUGACGGCCCUAUGGGUUGUAAACUGCUUUUAUAAGGGAAUAAAGUGAGUCUCGUGAGACUUUUUGCAUGUACCUUAUGAAUAAGGACCGGCUAAUUCCGUGCCAGCAGCCGCGGUAAUACGGAAGGUCCGGGCGUUAUCCGGAUUUAUUGGGUUUAAAGGGAGCGUAGGCCGGAGAUUAAGCGUGUUGUGAAAUGUAGAUGCUCAACAUCUGCACUGCAGCGCGAACUGGUUUCCUUGAGUACGCACAAAGUGGGCGGAAUUCGUGGUGUAGCGGUGAAAUGCUUAGAUAUCACGAAGAACUCCGAUUGCGAAGGCAGCUCACUGGAGCGCAACUGACGCUGAAGCUCGAAAGUGCGGGUAUCGAACAGGAUUAGAUACCCUGGUAGUCCGCACGGUAAACGAUGGAUGCCCGCUGUUGGUCUGAAUAGGUCAGCGGCCAAGCGAAAGCAUUAAGCAUCCCACCUGGGGAGUACGCCGGCAACGGUGAAACUCAAAGGAAUUGACGGGGGCCCGCACAAGCGGAGGAACAUGUGGUUUAAUUCGAUGAUACGCGAGGAACCUUACCCGGGCUUGAAUUGCAGAGGAAGGAUUUGGAGACAAUGACGCCCUUCGGGGCCUCUGUGAAGGUGCUGCAUGGUUGUCGUCAGCUCGUGCCGUGAGGUGUCGGCUUAAGUGCCAUAACGAGCGCAACCCCUCUCCUUAGUUGCCAUCAGGUUAAGCUGGGCACUCUGGGGACACUGCCACCGUAAGGUGUGAGGAAGGUGGGGAUGACGUCAAAUCAGCACGGCCCUUACGUCCGGGGCUACACACGUGUUACAAUGGCAGGUACAGAGAGACGGUCCCUUGCAAAAUGGAUCAAAUCCUUAAAGCCUGUCUCAGUUCGGACUGGGGUCUGCAACCCGACCCCACGAAGCUGGAUUCGCUAGUAAUCGCGCAUCAGCCAUGGCGCGGUGAAUACGUUCCC